UACGGAGGGUGCGAGCGUUGUCCGGAAUCACUGGGCGUAAAGGGUGCGUAGGCGGCGCGGUAAGUCGGGUGUGAAAUCUCGGAGCUUAACUCCGAAACUGCAUUCGAUACUGCCGUGCUUGAGGACUGGAGAGGAGACUGGAAUUUACGGUGUAGCGGUGAAAUGCGUAGAUAUCGUAAGGAAGACCAGUGGCGAAGGCGGGUCUCUGGACAGUUCCUGACGCUGAGGCACGAAGGCCAGGGGGAGCAAACGGGG
rnacentral:rRNA from 1 species